rnacentral:rRNA from 1 species
UAGGGAAUUUUCCGCAAUGGACUCAAGUCUGACGGAGCAACGCCGCUAGAGUGAAGAAGGAUCUCGGUUCGUAAAACUCUGUUGUUAGAGAAGAACAGCGCAUAGAGUAACUGUUAUGCGUGUGACGGUAUCUAACCAGAAAGCCACGGCUAACUACGUGCCAGCAGCCGCGGUAAUACGUAGGUGGCAAGCGUUGUCCGGAUUUAUUGGGCGUAAAGCGAGCGCAGGCGGUCAAUUAAGUCUGAUGUGAAAGCGCCCGGUUUAACCGGGGAGGGUCUGUUGAAAUAGGUGGACUUGAGUGCAGAAGAGGAGAGUGGAAUUCCAUGGGUAGCGGUGAAAUGAGUAGAUAUAUGAAGGAACACUAGUGGCGAAGGCGACUAGAUGGAAAGUAACUAACACUGAGGCUCGAAAGCGUGGGUAGGAAACAGG